UCCUCCGCGGGUACCUGCAGUUCGCCU
rnacentral:piRNA from 1 species